GGUAUUCGCUUAAGCCAUGCGAGUCGAGAGGUGUAAGACCUCGGCGCACCGCUCAGUAACACGCGGAUAACCUGCCCUAAGGUGGAGGAUAAUCUCGGGAAACUGAGAAUAAUACUCCAUAGGCAUAAGAUGCUGGAAUGCUUUUAUGCUUAAAUCCACGGAGCCUUAGGAUGGGUCUGCGGCCCAUUAGGUUGUAGUGGGGGUAACGGCCCCACUAGCCAGCGAUGGGUACGGGUGUUGGGAGACAUCACCCGGAGAUGGAUUCUGAGACAUGAAUCCAGGUCCUACGGGAUGCAGCAAGCGCAAAACCUUCGCAAUGUAGGAAACUACGACGGGGGAAUACCAAGUGCUAGCACUUUGUGUUAGCUGUUUUCUUGUCUAAAAGACAAGGAGAGUAAAGGGCGGGUAAGAUCGGGUGCCAGCCGCCGCGGUAAUACCCGCGCCCUGAGUGGUGCUCGUUAUUAUUGGGUCUAAAACAUCCGUAGCCGGUUCUGUAAAUGCCCAGGUAAAUCGACAGGCUCAACUUGUCGAAUUCUGGGUAGACUGCAGGACUUGGGAUCGGGAGAGGUCAGAGGUACUUCGGGGGUAGGGGUAAAAUCCUGUAAUCCUUGAAGGACCACCGGUGGCGAAGGCGUCUGACUAGAACGACUCCGACGGUGAGGGAUGAAGCCCUGGGGCGCAAACGGGAUUAGAUACCCCGGUAGUCCAGGGUGUAAACGCUGUGGGUUUUGUGUUGGAUUUCCUACGAGGAGAUUCAGUGCCGGAGAGAAGUUGUUAAGCCCACUACCUGGGGAGUACGGUCGCAAGACUGAAACUUAAAGGAAUUGGCGGGGGAGUACCGCAACGGGAGUAGCGUGCGGUUUAAUUGGAUUCAACGCCGUAAACCUCACCGGGGGAGACCAUCAUAUGUGGGUCAAGCUGAAGACUUUACCCGAACAAGAGAUGGAGAGGUGGUGCAUGGCCGUCGUCAGUUCGUACCGUGAGGCGUUCUGUUAAGUCAGAUAACGAACGAGACCCUUGCCCUUAGUUGCUACCUGUAAGUUCGCUUGCAGGGCACACUAGGGGGACCGCUGGCGCUAAGUCAGAGGAAGGAGAGGGCGACGGUAGGUCAGUAUGCCCUGAUCCCUCGGGCUACACGCGCGCUACAAAGGAUGGGACAAUAGGUUCCGACGCCGAAAGGCGAAGGCGAUCCCGAAACCCAUCCGUAGUUCGGAUUGGGGGUUGAAACUCACCCCCAUGAAGCUGGAUUCCGUAGUAAUCGCAAGUCAACACCUUGCGGUGAAUAUGCCCCUUCUCCUUGCACACACCGCCCGUCAACCCAUGCGAGUUGGGUUAAAGUGAAGGCAUACGUUAUGGUAUGCUUGAACU
rnacentral:rRNA from 1 species